rnacentral:rRNA from 1 species
UGGGGAAUAUUGCACAAUGGGCGCAAGCCUGAUGCAGCCAUGCCGCGUGUAUGAAGAAGGCCUUCGGGUUGUAAAGUACUUUCAGCGGGGAGGAAGGUGUUGAGGUUAAUAACCUUGGCGAUUGACGUUACCCGCAGAAGAAGCACCGGCUAACUCCGUGCCAGCAGCCGCGGUAAUACGGAGGGUGCAAGCGUUAAUCGGAAUUACUGGGCGUAAAGCGCACGCAGGCGGUCUGUCAAGUCGGAUGUGAAAUCCCCGGGCUUAACCUGGGAACUGCAUUCGA